rnacentral:rRNA from 1 species
UACGUAGGGUGCGAGCGUUGUCCGGAAUUACUGGGCGUAAAGAGCUCGUAGGUGGUUUGUCGCGUUGUUCGUGAAAACUCACAGCUUAACUGUGGGCGUGCGGGCGAUACGGGCAGACUGGAGUACUGCAGGGGAGACUGGAAUUCCUGGUGUAGCGGUGGAAUGCGCAGAUAUCAGGAGGAACACCGGUGGCGAAGGCGGGUCUCUGGGCAGUCGUCUGACGCUGGAGGCGCGAAAGCUCGGGGAGCGAACGGG